CCAAGAAGGAAGUUGAGGAGCCGCAUAUGGCAAUGGCAGAGCUUGAAGCAACUCAUGCAACUCUCAUCUUGAAUCCCCAUUCCCAAAAGCCAAUGACAAAUCAGCAGCUUAUUCACCGCCAAGGGCUUCCAAAGCGGACGAUUCACCGCGAAGAAGACAAUCUCCCUAGCUGGAUCAGAGUCACUCAAUCUCUCCUUCUUUGGUCGCUCUGUUCUCUGAUUCUUGCCGAAGACGACUUAAGUCUUCCGUCUGUGCCUCUAUUUUGUAUAUGAUCUGUUUGAUUCAUAAGAUUCUCCUACCAAGUUUUUUUUUUCGAUCCGGUAAACAAACCCAAUCUUGGCGAAGCCGGAAACAAACUAAAAACAAAUGCUCACCAGAGCUCCUCUCAUCUCCCCUUCCAUUUUUCUUUUCAUUCCUUUGUUCCUUUGUUCCUUUUUGUUGUUUUUUAUUUGGUCCUUUUUUCUCUAUUUUUCCUUCCCGUUUCCCCCCUCCCCCCUUUUCCCUUUCUUCUCUUUCCUUUUUUCAAUUAUAUGAUUCUAACUGAUUUUUUUUCCCUUGUUAGAAUUGGUCUGGAUAUGAAGCUACUAAACGCAUGAGACGCAGAAAUCAUCUUAAUUGGAAGUUUUCUGAAGCAAGACUUAUCACUCCAGAUAUCACAAGUGAAUAGGGGUAAUGCUUCAUUUAGUACCAAUCAGUCUAAGCCCAAGCUUUGACCUUUUAGCAUAGUUCAGCUUUAGACAGUGGAUUUUUGCAGUACCACUCAAGAAUGCUUCUGCCAUUUGAUUAACAAAACUACGUGUUUAUUUAUGUGGGAAGCAGAAUCGGCCACCCUUGAAGCUUUAUCAAGAUCAGAACCUUGAAGCAUAUGACCCUGGAUACUAGAUUUUGCACUAACUGUAGCUAUUUGAUCUUUGCAUUACCUGCUGUAUAUGUAUAUCAACUCUUGAUGCAUUAUAUCUCACGUGGCUGGUGUUAUCAUAAUAUUUUUGUUUGGUUUAAAAUCUUGUGUAACUGGAUGAGUUAUUUUGUGCCAA